GUGGACACACCUCUGGUGUAUCGGUUGUCACGCCAGUGGCAUUGCCGAGUAGCUAUGUGUGGAAGAGAUAACCGCUGAAAGCAUCUAAGCGGGAAACUCGUUUCAAGAUGAGAUCUGCCGGGGCCUCGAGCCCCCUAAAGAGUCGUUCAAGACCAGGACGUUGAUAGGUCAGGUGUGGAAGCGUAGUAAUGCGUUAAGCUAACUGAUACUAAUUGCUCGUGCGGCUUGACCCU
rnacentral:rRNA from 1 species